rnacentral:lncRNA from 1 species
UGUCUUGCAUGAAUUAAGUAACUUUAUCACGACAAACCUAUAAAACAGGUAAGGAAAGAGGUUGAGGCUGUUAAAGAAGUUUGCACAAGGCUCCUCAGUUAAUAAAUAGCAGAGCCAGAAUAUAGCUGCAAAAGGCCAUGUUCUUAGGAGCUAUAAGUCUUUCUAGAGAGAAGGGGCCUAUUAUUUACUGAACACCUCCUGUGUGUUGGGCUCACUUAAUUGAAUAUUCGUGACAUUUCUGAGGGUGACCAGAGCUCUGUAAGGAGCAAUACUGCAAGAACUCAGGGGCCAGCUCGCUUGUCUGGAUGCCACCAUCACAUCUCUUAGCCAGAGUUUGAACGGACAAGUACGGUGGGACAUCGAUUCCCUUAGGCUUCCCAGUGGCUGAGCAGGGCCUUAUCACCUCUACCUAUGCCUCCCUGGUCAGUUUGUCCCAGCAGGCUCACAGUGUAGGACACAGACUGCCCUGGUCUCUAUUUCCUUGCCUUCGUAAGCAAUCAAUGCUGCCUACAUGGCAGCUGUUUCAGCCUAAGGAGGUUGGGGAUUGCAUUUUGCAUUUCCAUCCUCUGACCACUUUGAAUGUGAGCUUGGUCCUUCCCCCAGUCCUUUGGAUCAAAUCAAUCAGGUUGAUAGGUUGGUGCCGGGAGAAAUCACCCAUCUGCUGAACGAGAGUUGGAGCUCCUCAGUGCUCACGGUCCAUUUGUCAUCCCACUGACUCACUUUGCACACAUUUUGUCCGUUGGGGUUUCAGUUGAAGACACCCGUCUUCACUUCCUCUCCUAAAAACGGUCAUAUCUUGGGUUCCAAGAAGCAUGGCUGCUCCAGCAUUAGCCAUGUGUCAUGGUGGUCCUUGGUAUCUUGCCUUGAAGAUGAGCUACAGUGACAGGUCCUUAAUUGAUGUGCAGUUUCCACUUGCUUUUUUAUGUUACUAUUUUGGGCCAAUUAUAUUUUUUAAAAAAGGCACUUCUUUUUUCUUUUACUUGGUUCAUCAAAAACAGGAAGUCAAAGUGUAUAUAUCCACACGAAACAGACACAGAGCCCAAAGAAGACGGGGAGCAGAUGUGAAAUGCUCUGAACUGGUUACAGGUGAGCCGGGGAGGAGGAGCUCUGUUUUGUUGGCUGACUGCCUGCUGUUCCAGUAACUGUGUUAGAGGCGUGGCUGCAACAGCCUAGGACCAAGACUUGAAGAUUGGGUUCUGGCCUUGACCUAUGGUGAGGGUCACAAUAGACUUUAUCAUUCAAACCAGGACACUUUUGAGAACCCAAGGAGGCCCUUUAGUAGUUCCUAUGGGACAACAUGUGGAAACGGGACUGUCUUGGGCAAAGUGGUACAUACAGUCCCCCCACGUCGAUCUUGGGUAAGUCACUGAAGCUCUGUGAGCUUCAGUUUCAUCAGUUCUUAAAACAACAAAAAAUACCUGUCCUAUCUCACAGGGUGUGAGGCUCAAAUGAGAUAAUAAAUUUGGAAAGUGUUGUGAAAAUAAGGAAUCA